UGGGGAAUAUUGCACAAUGGGCGGAAGCCUGAUGCAGCGACGCCGCGUGAGGGAUGACGGCCUUCGGGUUGUAAACCUCUUUCAGUAGGGACGAAGCGUAAGUGACGGUACCUGCAGAAGAAGCACCGGCUAACUACGUGCCAGCAGCCGCGGUAAUACGUAGGGUGCGAGCGUUGUCCGGAAUUAUUGGGCGUAAAGCGCGCGCAGGUGGUUUAGAAAGUCUGAUGUGAAAGCCCACGGCUCAACCGUGGAGGGUCAUUGGAAACUAAUAAACUUGAGUGCAGGAGAGAAAAGUGGAAUUCCUAGUGUAGCGGUGAAAUGCGUAGAGAUUAGGAGGAACACCGGUGGCGAAAGCGGCUUUUUGGCCUGCAACUGACACUGAGGCGCGAAAGCGUGGGGAGCAAACAGG
rnacentral:rRNA from 1 species